AUAUUGUUAUUGGUCAAUAAGAUCUGUUAGAUGUAUGAUAUGUAAAGACAGAAGAUAAUACUUUAGGACAUAUGACUUUAUUUUUAUUUAAUUAUAUACAAAUGAGAUUAGGGAUGAUUUGUUGGUAGAGAUACAUGUUUUAUUUUACAAGUGAAGUGAUUGCUCUCCAAAUUUUGUGCAGGCUGUUUUUUUAUGUGUUAGAAAUCUCCUGCUAAGGACCGAGCGGUGCCAUCUAAAGACUGGAUGCCACUGGAGAUGUUUGCAGAGGACGCUCUCAAUCUGAAGGUCACCUGUUUCCUUGGAGGGUGACCUUCUGGCAUUCACACACAGCAAUAAACCAAGAGAACACAGGUUGCUGGUGAAAGGACAAAGGGGAAAUACUGGAUAUCAGCGGCAGAGAAGGCAAACUAGCAGCCACCGCAUGGUACAAGGUGGUGCAUUCAAGGAGCGUCAGCAUAGACAUGAUCAGUCCGCAUGUUCAUGGUGCCAGCAUUUUUUCUGGAAUACGCUGAGCAAACCUGGAGAAUCUUCAGCUCAAGAGAUUAUUCUUGUCGUUGCUGUGGAUCUUUACCUGAUACGCCGAUUUGGUGAGUACAUGUUUACUGACUUUGUGGCUUCCCUUAGGUUAGCACCAGGUUUAUGAACUUGCUAGCUAGCUAGUGUUAGCCUGGUGUUGCUGCUGCUUCUGGACUCAUGUUACUUAAAAAAUAACCCCACAGCUUUAAAAACCCUAUAUAAAAAUCUGUCUGUGAAAUCUUCUGUUGAUUUUUUGAAUUAAAAAACGAUGCUCCAGGAGUUCGCUGUUCUCGCUGGAUCUAGUGAGCCUUUACCUCCCGGUCAGCUGUCGCACUGGUGGGUAACGAAGGUAUCCUGCUCUCCUUGUGUGUGUA